GUCCAACUCCUGGGUGCAUAUGAAAGAUGAUGAGAGGGUACGAGAGAUCCUGCAGUCCAUGCAGAAGGCUGGCUCCAACACCCUGCAGGUGAUCUCGGAUUUUGACAUGACCCUUACAAGAUUUGAACAUAACGGGAAAAGAUGCCCUGAUUGUUAUAAUAUUCUUGAAAGAAGCAAUGUAAUCUCCAGUGACUCACAUCUACAAUAAAAGGGAAGGUGCGCUGCUCAACACCGGACAUUUCCAGGAGCUGCGCAC